UACGGGGGGAGCAAGCGUUGUUCGGAUUUACUGGGCGUAAAGCGUGCGCAGGCGGUUCGUUGUGUCGGUGGUGAAAUCCCCGGGCUUAACCUGGGAAUGGCCAUGGAAACUGGCGAACUGGAGUGCGGCAGAGGGGGGUGGAAUUCCGCGUGUAGCAGUGAAAUGCGUAGAGAUGCGGAGGAACACCGAUGGCGAAGGCAGCCCCCUGGGCUAGCACUGACGCUCAGGCACGAAAGCGUGGGGAGCAAACAGG
rnacentral:rRNA from 1 species